AUACGUAGGGUGCGAGCGUUGUCCGGAAUUACUGGGCGUAAAGAGCUCGUAGGUGGUUUGUCGCGUCGUCUGUGAAAUUCCGGGGCUUAACUCCGGGCGUGCAGGCGAUACGGGCAUAACUUGAGUACUGUAGGGGAGACUGGAAUUCCUGGUGUAGCGGUGAAAUGCGCAGAUAUCAGGAGGAACACCGGUGGCGAAGGGGUGUCUCUGGUCAGUAACUGACCCUGGGGAGCGAAAGCAUGGGUAGCGAAGAGAAUUGGUUACCCUGGUAGUCCAGGCCGUAAACGGGGGGCGCUAGGGGUAGGGGUCUUCCACGACUUCUGUGCCGUAGCUAACGCAUUAAGGGCCCCGCCUGGGGAGUACGGCCGCAAGGCUAAAACUCAAAUGAAUUUACGGGG
rnacentral:rRNA from 1 species